rnacentral:rRNA from 1 species
GACGAACGCUGGCGGCGUGCCUAAUACAUGCAAGUCGAGCGGACUGAUUAAGAGCUUGCUCUUAUGACGUUAGCGGCGGACGGGUGAGUAACACGUGGGCAACCUGCCCUGUAGAUCGGGAUAACACCGAGAAAUCGGUGCUAAUACCGGGUAAUAUCUGAGAUCACAUGAUCUUAGGUUAAAAGAUGGCUCCGGCUAUCACUACAGGAUGGGCCCGCGGCGCAUUAGCUAGUUGGUAAGGUAAUGGCUUACCAAGGCGACGAUGCGUAGCCGACCUGAGAGGGUGAUCGGCCACACUGGGACUGAGACACGGCCCAGACUCCUACGGGAGGCAGCAGUAGGGAAUCUUCCGCAAUGGACGAAAGUCUGACGGGGCAACGCCGCGUGAGUGAUGAAGGGUUUCGGCUCGUAAAGCUCUGUUGUUAGGGAAGAAACAGUACCGAACGAACUAGGUCGGUACCUUGACGGUACCUAACCAGAAAGCCACGGCUAACUACGUG